rnacentral:rRNA from 1 species
UACGGAGGGUGCGAGCGUUGUCCGGAAUCAUUGGGCGUAAAGGACGCGUAGGUGGCUUCUUAAGCGUGCGGUGAAAGCCUGGGGCUCAACCCCGGGUCGGCCGUGCGAACUGGGGGGCUGGAGCACUGUAGAGGCAGGCGGAAUUCCGGGUGUAGCGGUGAAAUGCGUAGAUAUCGGGAGGAACACCUGUGGCGAAAGCGGCUCACUGGACCACAACUGACGCUGAUGCACGAAAGCUAGGGGAGCAAACAGG